AGUGAAGCGGCAAGAGCUCAAAUUUGAAAUCUGGCUCCUUCGGGGCCCGAGUUGUAAUUUGGAGAGGAUGCUUCGGGCGUGGCCCCCAUCUAAGUGCCCUGGAACGGGCCGUCAUAGAGGGUGAGAAUCCCGUCUGGGAUGGGUGGUCCCGCCCGUGUGAAGCUCCUUCGAAGAGUCGAGUUGUUUGGGAAUGCAGCUCUAAGAGGGUGGUAAAUUUCAUCUAAAGCUAAAUAUUGGCCGGAGACCGAUAGCGCACAAGUAGAGUGAUCGAAAGAUGAAAAGCACUUUGAAAAGAGAGUUAAACAGCACGUGAAAUUGUUGAAAGGGAAGCGUUGGCAACCAGACUCGCCCGGGAGGGCUCAGCCGGCACGUGUGCCGGUGCACUCCCCCCCGGGCGGGCCAGCGUCGGUUUGGGCGGUCGGUCAAAGGCCCCGGGAAUGUAGCACCCUCCGGGGUGCCUUAUAGCCCGAGGCGCCAUGCGACCUGCCCGGACCGAGGAACGCGCUUCG
rnacentral:rRNA from 1 species